GACGAACGCUGGCGGCGUGCUUAACACAUGCAAGUCGAACGGAAAGGCCCUGCUUUUGUGGGGUGCUCGAGUGGCGAACGGGUGAGUAACACGUGAGUAACCUGCCCUUGACUUUGGGAUAACUUCAGGAAACUGGGGCUAAUACCGGAUAGGAGCUCCUGCUGCAUGGUGGGGGUUGGAAAGUUUCGGCGGUUGGGGAUGGACUCGCGGCUUAUCAGCUUGUUGGUGGGGUAGUGGCUGACCAAGGCUUUGACGGGUAGCCGGCCUGAGAGGGUGACCGGGCACAUUGGGACUGAGAGACGGCGCAGAGUCGUACGGGGGGCAGCAGUCGGGAAUCUUGCACAAUGGGCGCAAGCCUGAUGCAGCAACGCCGCGUGCGGGAUGACGGCCUUCGGGUUGUAAACCGCUUUCGCCUGUGACGAAGCGUGAGUGACGGUAAUGGGUAAAGAAGCACCGGCUAACUACGUG
rnacentral:rRNA from 1 species